rnacentral:ncRNA from 1 species
CUUAUCCGGAGUGACUGAGGGAACAGGCCCUGUGACGUCCGACAACCUGCCGAAAGGUAAGGUGCCAAAUCCUGCGGUAUAGCCGAAAGAUGAG